rnacentral:rRNA from 1 species
GUCGUACGAGAGUUUUUAACUCUAGUGGCGGACGGGUGAGUAACACGUGAGAAUUUACCUUUAGGAGGGGGAUAACAGCGUAUCAAUAGAUAUUACGGAAACGGCUGCUAAUACCCCAUAUGCUUUUGAGUGAAAUAGAUUUAUCUGCCUAAAGAGAAGCUCGCGGCUGAUUAGCUUGUUGGUAAGGUAAUGGCUUACCAAGGCGACGAUCAGUAUCUGGUUUGAGAGGACGAUCAGACACACUGGAACUGAGACACGGUCCAGACUCCUACGGGAGGCAGCAGUGGGGAAUUUUCCGCAAUGGGCGAAAGCCUGACGGAGCAAUACCGCGUGAGGGAAGACGGCCUAUGGGUUGUAAACCUCUUUUUUUCAGGGAGGAAUUUAAUGACGUGUACCUGAGGAAUAAGCAUCGGCUAACUCCGUGCCAGCAGCCGCGGUAAUACG